rnacentral:rRNA from 1 species
AAAUUGAAGAGUUUGAUCAUGGCUCAGAUUGAACGCUGGCGGCAGGCCUAACACAUGCAAGUCGAGCGGAAACGAGUUAUCUGAACCUUCGGGGAACGACAACGGCGUCGAGCGGCGGACGGGUGAGUAAUGCCUAGGAAAUUGCCCUGAUGUGGGGGAUAACCAUUGGAAACGAUGGCUAAUACCGCAUGAUGCCUACGGGCCAAAGAGGGGGGACCUUCGG